rnacentral:rRNA from 1 species
CUUAAUGAGAGUUUGAUCCUAGCUCAGGAUGAAUGCUGGCUGUAUGGAUAAGGCAUGCAAGUCGAACGGACCGCAAGGUCAGUGGCAGACGAGGUAGUAACACGUACGAACGCACCCCAUAGUCUGGUAUAGCUCGUCGAAAGACGGGGUAAUCCCGGAUGGUCCCGCAAGGGUAAAGAUUUAUCGCUAUGGGAGCGGCGUGCGUAAUAUCAGCUUGUUGGUGAGGUAAUGGCUCACCAAGGCUACGACGUUUAGGGGAGCUGAGAGGCUGACCCCCACCGAUGGGACUGAGACACGGCCCAUACUCCUACGGGAGGCCGCAGUCGAGAAUCUUCCGCAAUGGACGAAAGUCUGACGGAGCGAUACAGCGUGAUGGACGAAGUGCCUCGGCACGUAAACAUCUUUUAUGUGGGAAGAAAUUAUUGACGGUACCACAUGAAUAAGGGGCUCCUAACUCUGUGCCAGCAGGAGCGGUAAUACAGAGGCCCCAAGCAUUAUCCGGAAUCAUUGGGCGUAAAGGGUGUCAAGGCGGUUAUGUUAGUCGUUCGUAAAAUCCGGGGGCUCAACCUCCGGCCCGCGAGCGAAACGGCAUGACUAGAGGUUGGAAGAGGUGCGUGGAACUCACGGUGUAGGGGUGAAAUCCGUUGAUAUCGUGGGGAACACCAAAGGCGAAGGCAGCGCACUGGUCCAAAUCUGACGCUCACACACGAAAGCCAGGGUAGCGAACGGGAUUAGAUACCCCGGUAGUCCUGGCCCUAAACGUUGCUCGCUCGUUCUACGGAGUAUCGACCCUCUGUGGGACUAAGCUAACGCGGUAAGCGAGCCGCCUGGGUAGUACGAUCGCAAGGUUAAAACUCAAAGGAAUAGACGGGGACUCGCACAAGCGGUGGAUCAUGUGGCUUAAUUCGUCGAUAAGCGAAAAACCUUACCAGGGCUAGAAACCAAACUGCACGCUCCCAGAAACGGGAGAAUCCUUCGAGGGUGUUUGGCAGGUGAUGCAUGGUUGUCGUCAGUUCGUGGCUUGAGCUGUUCCCUUCAGUGGGGUAACGAACGCAACCCUCGUUGUCUGUUAUAUAUGUCAGGCGAGACUGCCCCCUCACGGGGGAGGAAGGUGGGGAUGACGCCAAAUCAGCAUGUCCCUUGAUGCCCUGGGCUGCACACGUGAUACAAUGGACGGUACAGAAGGACGCAAGACCGUAAGGUGGAGCAAAUCCCUAAAACCGUCCCCAGUUCGGAUUGAGGUCUGCAACUGACCUCAUGAAGCCGGAAUCGCUAGUAAUCCUGAAUCAGCAUGUCAGGGUGAAUACGUUCUCGAGUCUUGUACUCACCGCCCGUCAACUCAAGGAAGCUGGGGGUACCCGACAUCUUGCCUCGCGCAGGACUACGGUAAAUUCAGUGACAGGGAGUAAGUCGUAACAAGGCACGGCUAGCGGAAGCUGGUCGUGGAACAUAUCCAAU